rnacentral:misc_RNA from 1 species
AAGUCGUAACAAGGUAUCCGUAGGUGAACCUGCGGAUGGAUCAUUAUCGUAUUACCACGUAUCAACUCACUGUGAACCGUAUUUGAGCAUCGGUGGAAGUGAACUGUGACGAACACCACGCCUUGAGGUUAACCUUCCGUUUUGGUGUUAGUGGGAUUCAUUUUCUACUAACAUCGCUUUUUUGGGGGAAGGACCGAACAGUUCGCCUUUUCUUUAUGUCUUCAUUGAUGUGAAGAAAUAACAUGCUAUGAACCGACUCAUCUUAUUUCCCUAAAAGCAACCCCCACACCACAAAAGUACGUAAUAUGACCGCGACUAAGUCCAUUUUCUUACUCCCGAAAGGGGGAAGAAAAUCGUAGAAAUACGAAACUAAGUAUAACUCUUAGCAACGGAUAUCUCGGUUCUCAUAACGAUGAAGAACGCAGC